rnacentral:sRNA from 1 species
ACCUCCCGGGCGGCGCGCCGGCCGCACCUGCCGUCCCCGGUCCCGGGGGCGUGAACUGCGCGGUCGGCUCCGCCAUGCUGACGCGGGCGGCCCCCGGCCCGCGGCGGUCGGAGGACGAGCCCCCAGCCGCCUCUACCUCGGCUGCACCGCCGCCCCGGCGUGACGAGGAGGAGCCGGACGGCGUCCCGGAGAAGGGCAAGAGCUCGGGCCCCAGUGCCAGGAAAGGCAAGGGGCAGAUCGAGAAGAGGAAGCUGCGGGAGAAGCGGCGCUCCACCGGCGUGGUCAACAUCCCUGCCGCAGAGAGGUAAAGAGUUCAGAAGUAAGAUAAAAGAAGGCCAAAGACAAACUACUUCAGGGCUAUUUCGUGAAGCAGAAACAGCACUUCAUCAGGUAGCUUUUGUGGGAGGAAGCACUGUUAAUGCCCUUAGGCGUAAGGGUAAAUGAUUCAACUUACUUAAGGAAAUACAUUUUCUUCUAACUUGGAACAUUAAAAACAAAAAAUAUCUACAAACUUUUACUAUAGAAAGAUCAAAUGUGGCCAGCACUUUGGGAGGCUGAGGUGGGCAGAUCACCUGAGGUUGGGGGUUCUAGACCAGCCUGACCAACAUGGAGAAACCCCGUCUCUACUAAAAAUACAAAAUUAGCCAGGCAUGGUGGCACAUGCCUGUAAUCCCAGGUACUCAAGAGGCUGAGGCAGGAGAAUCGCUUGAACCCGGGGGACAGAGGUUAUGG